CCGUGGAGGGUCAUUGGAAACUGGGGAACUUGAGUGCAGAAGAGGAGAGCGGAAUUCCACGUGUAGCGGUGAAAUGCGUAGAGAUGUGGAGGAACACCAGUGGCGAAGGCGGCUCUUUGGUCUGUAACUGACGGUGAGGCGCGAAAGCGUGGGGAGCGAACAGGAUUAGAUACCCUGGUUGUUCACGCCGUAAACGAUGAGUGCUAAGUGUUAGAGGGUUUCCGCCCUUUAGUGGUGCAGCAAACGCCUUAAGCACUCCGCCUGGGGAGUACGGUUGCAAGACUGAAACUCAAAGGAAUUGACGGGGACCCGCACCAGCGGUGGAGCAUGUGGUUUAAUUUGAAGCAACGCGAAGAACCUUACCAGGUCUUGACAUCCUUUGCUAAUUC
rnacentral:rRNA from 1 species